rnacentral:rRNA from 1 species
AUUGAACGCUGGCGGCAUGCCUUACACAUGCAAGUCGAGCGGCAGCGCGGGGGCAACCCUGACGGCGAGCGGCGGACGGGUGAGUAAUACAUCGGAACGUGUCCUGUCGUGGGGGAUAACCAGUCGAAAGACUGGCUAAUACCGCAUGAGAUCGAAAGAUGAAAGCGGGGGACCGCAAGGCCUCGCGCGAUUGGAGCGGCCGAUGCCGGAUUAGCUAGUGGCGGGGUAAAGCCCACCAAGGCUACGAUCCGUAGCUGGUUUGAGAGAACGACCAGCCACACUGGGACUGAGACACGGCCCAGACUCCUACGGGAGGCAGCAGUGGGGAAUUUUGGACAAUGGGCGCAAGCCUGAUCCAGCCAUGCCGCGUGUGUGAAGAAGGCCU